rnacentral:rRNA from 1 species
UGCGUAGGGGGCAAGCGUUGUCCGGAAUCAUUGGGCGUAAAGAGCGUGUAGGCGGUCCGGUCAGUCGGUUGUGAAAGUCAAGGGCUCAACCCUUGAAUGCCGGCCGAUACUGCCGGGCUAGAGUCCGGAAGAGGAGAGUGGAAUUCCCGGUGUAGCGGUGAAAUGCGCAGAUAUCGGGAAGAACACCCGUGGCGAAGGCGGCUCUCUGGGACGGUACUGACGCUGAGGCGCGAAAGCGUGGGGAGCAAACGGG